UACAGAGGUGGCAAGCGUUGUUCGGAAUUACUGGGCGUAAAGGGCGCGUAGGCGGUCUUUUAAGUCUUGUGUGAAAUCCCUCGGCUCAACUGAGGAACUGCACGGGAUACUGGAAGACUUGAGUUCGGGAGAGGGAAGCGGAAUUCCGGGUGUAGCGGUGAAAUGCGUAGAUAUGCGGAGGAACACCGAUGGCGAAGGCAAUCCCCUGGGCCUGCACUGACGCUCAUGCACGAAAGCGUGGGGAGCAAACAGG
rnacentral:rRNA from 1 species